UACGGAGGGUGCAAGCGUUAUCCGGAUUCACUGGGUUUAAAGGGUGCGUAGGAGGGCAGGUAAGUCAGUGGUGAAAUCCCCGAGCUUAACUUGGGAACUGCCGUUGAUACUAUCUGUCUUGAAUACCGUGGAGGUGAGCGGAAUAUGUCAUGUAGCGGUGAAAUGCUUAGAUAUCAGGAAGAACACCCGUGGCUAAGGCGGCUCUCUAGUACGGUACUGACGCUGAGACGCGAAAGCGUGGGGAGCGAACAGG
rnacentral:rRNA from 1 species